rnacentral:rRNA from 1 species
UACGUAGGGCGCAAGCGUUGUCCGGAAUUAUUGGGCGUAAAGAGCUCGUAGGCGGUUUGUCGCGUCUGCUGUGAAAACCUAAGGCUCAACCUUGGGCUUGCAGUGGGUACGGGCAGACUAGAGUGCGGUAGGGGUGACUGGAAUUCCUGGUGUAGCGGUGGAAUGCGCAGAUAUCAGGAGGAACCCCGAUGGCGAAGGCAGGUCACUGGGCCGCAACUGACGCUGAGGCGCGAAAGCUAGGGGAGCGAACAGG